GAUGAACGCUGGCGGCGUGCCUAAUACAUGCAAGUCGAGCGAACGGACGAGAAGCUUGCUUCUCUGAUGUUAGCGGCGGACGGGUGAGUAACACGUGGAUAACCUACCUAUAAGACUGGGAUAACUUCGGGAAACCGGAGCUAAUACCGGAUAAGAUUUUGAACCGCAUGGUUCAAAAGUGAAAGACGGUCUUGCUGUCACGUAUAGAUGGAUCCGCGCUGCAUUAGCUAGUUGGUAAGGUAACGGCUUACCAAGGCAACGAUGCAUAGCCGACCGGAGAGGGUGAUCGGCGACCCUGGAACUGAGACACGCUCCAGACUCCUACGGGAGGCAGCAGUAGGGAAUCUUCCGCAAUGGGCGAAAGCCUGGCGGAGCAACGCCGCGUGAGUGAUGAAGGUCUUCCGAUCGUAAAACUCUGUUAUUAGGGAAGAACAUAUUUGUAAGUAACUGUGCACAUCUUGACGGUACCUAAUCAGAAAGCCACGGCUAACUACGUG
rnacentral:rRNA from 1 species